rnacentral:misc_RNA from 1 species
UUACUGAGUUACCGCUCUACAACCCUUUGUGAACAUACCUAACCGUUGCUUCGNCGGGCAGGGGAAGCCUCUCGCGGGCCUCCCCUCCCGGCGCCGGCCCCACCACGGGGACGGGGCGCCCGCCGGAGGAAACCAAACUCUAUUUACACGACGUCUCUUCUGAGUGGCACAAGCAAAUAAUUAAAACUUUUAACAACGGAUCUCUUGGUUCUGGCAUCGAUGAAGAACGCAGCGAAAUGCGAUAAGUAAUGUGAAUUGCAGAAUUCAGUGAAUCAUCGAAUCUUUGAACGCACAUUGCGCUCGCCAGCAUUCUGGCGAGCAUGCCUGUUCGAGCGUCAUUUCAACCCUCAAGCACCGCUUGGUUUUGGGGCCCCACGGCAGACGUGGGCCCUUAAAGGUAGUGGCGGACCCUCCCGGAGCCUCCUUUGCGUAGUAACUAACGUCUCGCACUGGGAUCCGGAGGGACUCUUGCCGUAAAACCCCCAAAUUCUUUACAGGUUGACCUCGGAUCAGGUAGGAAUACCCGCUGAACUUAAGCAUAU